UUAAGCUACAAAGGGCAUAUGGUGGAUGCCUAGGCGUUCCGAGCCGAUGAAGGACGCGAUAAGCUGCGAUAAGUCAUGGGGAGCCGCAAGUAGGCUUUGAUCCAUGAAUUUCCAAAUGGGGCAACCCGGUACGAGUCAUGUCGUACCAUCCGAAAGGAAGGCACACCCGGUGAACUGAAACAUCUAAGUAGCCGGAGGAAGAGUAAUCAAACGAGAUUCCCUCAGUAGCGGCGAGCGAACAGGGAAGAGCCCAAACCGGACGUCUUCGGACGACCGGGGUUGAGGACCAGCAUCAAGGGAAGGCAAGAUAGCCGAACAGUCUGGGAAGGCUGAGCACAGACGGUGAAACUCCGGUAGGCGAAAUCUUGCUGAGCGGGCUGGUAUCCAGAGUACCACGAGACACGUGAAACCUUGUGGGAAACAGGGUGGACCACCAUCCAAGGCAAAAUACUACGGAACGACCGAUAGCGCAUAGUACCGUGAGGGAAAGGUGAAAAGAACCGCGGGAGCGGAGUGAAAUAGAACCUGAAACCGUAUGUCUACAAGCAGUCGAAGCACUUUAUAUGUGCGACGGCGUGCCUAUUGAAGAAUGAACCGGCGAGUUAAUUUCAGAGGCGAGGUUAAGCGGGAGACGCGGAGCCGAAGCGAGAGCGAGUCUGAAUAGGGCGGAAGUCUCUGGGAUUAGACCCGAAACCACAGUGAUCUAUGCAUGGCCAGGUUGAAGCUCAGGUAAAAAUGAGUGGAGGACCGAACCCGUGAGUGUUGAAAAACUUUGGGAUGAGCUGUGCAUAGGGGUGAAAUGCCAAUCGAACGUGGAGAUAGCUGGUUCUCCCCGAAAUAGCUUUAGGGCUAGCCUCAGGUAACACAUGGAGACGGUAGAGCACUGAUCGGGUAAGGGAGCGUAAAGCUUACCGAGCCUAGUCAAACUGCGAAUGGCUUCAUGAGAAGAGCCUGGGAGUCAGAAUGCGAGUGAUAAGACCCGUAUUCAAAAGGGAAACAGCCCAGACCGCCGACUAAGGUCCCGAAUGCUGUACUAAGUGGAAAAGGAUGUAGGACUUCCAAAACAACCAGGAUGUUGGCUCAGAAGCAGCCACCAUUCAAAGAGUGCGUAAUAGCUCACUGGUCGAGAGGCCCUGCGCCGAAAAUAUCCGGGGCUCAAGUACAGAACCGAAGUCGCGGGAUGCGCAAGCAUCGGUAGGGGAGCGUUCCAAGCAGGUUGAAGGCAGACCGGAAGGACGGCUGGACAGCUUGGAAGUGAGAAUGCUGGUAUGAGUAGCGAAACGAUCCGUGAGAAUCGGAUCCACCGAAAGCCUAAGGGAUCCUGAGCAACGCUCGUCGUCUCAGGGUAAGUCGGGACCUAAGCCGAGGCAUAAAGCAUAGGCGAUGGACAACAGGCGAAAAUUCCUGUACUGCAUGAUGUUGUUUGAGGAUGGAGUGACACAGCAAGGAGCUUGAGCGCGCGAUUGGAAAUGCGCGUCGAAGGCGGUAGGCUGGUACAGAGGCAAAUCCCUGUACUAAGGCCGAGAACUGAUAGAUAGACAAUCCCUUCGGGGAGCGUCAAAUUCAAGCGUACUACACUGUCGAGAAAAGCUUCUAACGAGACAUCAUGUACCCGUACCAAAACCGACACAGGUAGGCGGGGAGAGAAUCCUAAGGUGCGCGGGAAAACCCUCGUUAAGGAACUCGGCAAAAUGCAUCCGUAACUUCGGGAGAAGGAUGGCCGGAGCUGGUGAAGACCUUCGCGGUUGGAGCUGGAGCCGGCGGCAGAAGAGAAGCCCAAGCGACUGUUUACCACAAACACAGGUGCCUGCUAAAGAGAAAUCUGACGUAUAGGUGCUGACACCUGCCCGGUGCUGGAAGGUUAAGAGGAGAGGUUAUUCGCAAGAAGAAGCUUUGAAUUGAAGCCCCAGUAAACGGCGGCCGUAACUAUAACGGUCCUAAGGUAGCGAAAUUCCUUGUCGGGUAAGUUCCGACCCGCACGAAAGGUGUAACGACUUGGGCACUGUCUCAACGAGGGACCCGGUGAAAUUGAAAUACCUGUGAAGAUGCAGGUUACCCGCGACUGGACAGAAAGACCCCAUGGAGCUUUACUGCAGCCUGACAUUGAUUUUUGGCAUGUAACGUACAGGAUAGUUGGGAGACGGAGAAGGCAGCCCCCCAGGGUUGCCGGAGUCGCUGUUGGGAUACCAACCUUUAUGUGCUAGGGAUCUAACUCGAGAAGUAACGAAGCUGAGGACAGUAUCAGGUGGGCAGUUUGACUGGGGCGGUCGCCUCCGAAAGAGUAACGGAGGCGUCCAAAGGUUCCCUCAGCGCGGACAGAAAUCGCGCGAAGAGUAUAAAGGCAGAAGGGAGCUUGACUGCGAGACAUACAGGUCGAGCAGGUACGAAAGUAGGGCUUAGUGAUCCGGUGGAAUGAGAGUGGAAUUGCCAUCGCUCAACGGAUAAAAGCUACCCUGGGGAUAACAGGCUAAUCUCUCCCAAGAGUCCAUAUCGACGGGGAGGUUUGGCACCUCGAUGUCGGCUCAUCACAUCCUGGGGCUGAAGCAGGUCCCAAGGGUUGGGCUGUUCGCCCAUUAAAGUGGUACGUGAGCUGGGUUCAGAACGUCGUGAGACAGUUCGGUCCAUAUCCAUCGCGGGCGUAAGAUACAUGAGGGAGACUGCUCCUAGUACGAGAGGACCGGAGUGGACGGACCGCCGGUGUACCAGUUGUUUCGCCAGAAGCACAGCUGGGUAGCUGCGUCCGGAAGGGAUAAACGCUGAAAGCAUCUAAGCGUGAAGCCCGUCCCGAGAUGAAGUAUCUCAUAGCACAAGCUAGUAAGACACCUUGAAGAAGACAAGGUUGAUAGGGUAGAUGUGGGAGUGCCGCAAGGCAUGAAGCUGACUACUACUAAUAUGUCGAGGGCUUAACUAG
rnacentral:rRNA from 1 species